UGCCCAGCAACUCCUAUUAUUACCUCCUCGUGGUACUGGCCGGGGUACGAGUAACCUUGGGAAAGAGGUCGUAUGCUGACAGGGAAGG
rnacentral:ribozyme from 1 species